rnacentral:lncRNA from 1 species
UUGUAUGAUGAAAUCAAGCCCUUAAAUAUAAUAUUUAAAACUUUUUAAUGUGAUGUCUAAGGAUCCUUGGUUGUGAUGUCUAGGUUUUUGUUCUUCAAUUUCAAAGUAGACAAAUCAAUGUAAUCUGUCCUACAUCAAUGCAGGCCCCAACUCAGGAGACACCGCGAGGUCAUUGAGGUGGUUUAGUCAUAUAAUAUAAGCGGCCUAGCCACUUCAAUAACUUUUCAAGAUUGAACCCAAGCGCAAACCUCGCCCACUUAACAAGUGGAAAGCAAGCACUUUAGCCAAACUCACUAGUUUUAAUGUUUAUUGGCAACAAGCUAUUUACUAUUUAUUAACUUUUUUAUUGCUAACAAAACAUUUAUUGCAAGGUCCUUCUAGAGACUUCAGCAUUUUGUUUAAAUUGAAGACUAAACUUGCUCUUACAGGGCGAAAAGGUUUUUUUAAUAAAUGGACUCGGUGUCAUGAUGUUUACCCACCCUCCUCCAUUAAAGCUUUCUUUGAAAAAAAGAGAAAAAAGAAACGGAGUCCCAAAUCAUCAUCCCAUUUUUAACUUAAAUAGGACAUGUUGGUGUUCAAGACUUUGAAACCAACUGCUGAAAAUUGGAUCAUAGAAUUCAAUUUAAACCAACAAUUUAUGCUUGCAGUUUUAUACAAGUGACUCAAUUAAGGGCCACAAUUUUUCAACAUCAAGCAAGGUCAAGAAAAAAUUAGGCCAAAAGCUGGUUCGAACAUGGCAUGAAACUACCAACAAGUCAGUAAACAAACAACUACAUUCCCUUAUGCAUUACCACAAUAUGACUGCCAUCGCCAUAUAUCUGAGAUGAGCUUUCAUGGAGCUCCUCCGUCAGUUUUAGCUGACCCAAAAAUAACACAGAAGAACUAUCACUUAGCAACCAUGAAAGAGUAGUAAAAUUGCUAAUAACAAAAAAAAUAUUUUAAUUAUUUUGCCAUAGUAGUUAUCACCUGCUGCCUCAGAUACGUGAUAUCCUCAAAGCUGGAAGAAAAAAUUAGUUCCAUCUUCUUCCAAAAUGAAUUAGAACAGGCAAGAUCUGGAUGGAAAUUGGGAGCGAAAUACCUUAACAGAAGCAUAUACA